rnacentral:rRNA from 1 species
GGGUGAAGAUAAGACGGAUUAGCGGCGGACGGGUGAGUAACACGUGAGUAACCUGCCUUUUACACAGGGAUAGCCUCGGGAAACCGGGAUUAAAACCUGAUGAAACUAUCAAAUCACAUGAUUAAGAAAGUUAAAACUCCGGUGGUAAAAGAUGGACUCGCGUCCCAUUAGCUAGUUGGUGAAGGUAACGGCCCACCAAGGCAACGAUGGGUAGCCGGCCUGAGAGGGUGAACGGCCACAUUGGAACUGAGAAACGGUCCAAACUCCUACGGGAGGCAGCAGCC